rnacentral:lncRNA from 1 species
UUUUUUUUUUUAAAGAUUUGUUUAUUUAUUUAUUUAUUAUAUGUAAGUACACUGUAGCUGUCCUCAGACACUCCAGAAGAGGGAGUCAGAUCUCGUUACGGAUGGUUGUGAGCCACCAUGUGGUUGCUGGGAUUUGAACUCCUGACCUUCGGAAGAGCAGUCGGGUGCUCUUACCCACUGAGCCAUCUCACCAGCCCCUAACUGGUUUUCUUACAGUACUUGGGAUCAUUUAACUGAACCCUCACUGUGAAAUCCUCCUCAACUGCUUCAUCUGCCUGAAGAGAGAGCUCAAAGUAGUUGGCUGACAGUCUCAUUUACAAAGUGUAGAACUAAAGCUGUAUUCUAAGGUUAUUGGAUACAUUCUUCUCAUGAAAACCCAAACCAUAAAUUAGCUGACCAAAUGUUAAGGUGGAAGCAAAAAAAUUGACUAUGGUCUUAAGUAUAAUAGUGAAAGGGGCCCUCUGAUUUUUACCUUCAGUUUUUAGACCUUUGUUCAGUGAUAGAAAUAGCAGUUUGUCACUAGUCUAGAGCAUAUUUUACAGUUUAAAAAUAGAACCUUACUGAGGUUUGACGGGUGAGGACACAUACCUGACUAACCACGAGCCAUUCCACUGGUCUGUCUCCCCCAUGGUCACUGUGGGAUGGCUGCAGAGAUCAUGGGCACUAUGACCUGCAGCUCCUCACCAAUUAAAUUCUAAUAUUUGGACAAACUUUUUUGUUUGUUUGUUUUUCGAGACAGGGUUUCUCUGUGUAGCCCUGGCUGUCCUAGAACUCACUCUGUAGACCAGGCAGGCCUCGAACUCAAAUCCACCUGCCUCUGCCUCCUGAGCGCUGGGAUUAAAGGCGUGCGCCACCAUGCCUGGCUCCGUUAUUCAUUUUUAAAAGAAGAAUUUACUUUAUGUAUAUGAAUAUGUCAUAACUGUAUUCAGACACACCAGAAAAUGGCAUUGGAUCCUAUUUAAAUGAUUGUGAGCCACCAUGUGGUUGCUGGGAAUUGAACUCAGGACCUCUGGAAGAGCAGUCAGUGCUCUUAACCGCUGAGCUAUCUCUCCAGCCCCUGGUUAUUAUUCUUGAAACUGUUCACAUUUAGAUUUUGAGAAUGUUUUGAGAUAGGAUCUCUUAUAUCUUAUAACACAGGUUAAUUUUGCACAUUCUGUACACUCGAGGAUGAUCUUAAAGUCAUGAUCUUCCUACCUGUACCUACCAAGGAUUGGGAUUACAAGCUUGCACCAUUGUACUUGCUUUUUCUCACGUAAAAUUCUGUUUAUUGAUUGAUUGUUUUUAUAUAUAUGUACAUGUGGACACACAUUGUCUCUACUUUUACCUUGUGGGUUUUAGGAAUUGAGUUCGUAUCUGUGUUUGCUUAUCUUGCAGAUCCCCUUAGUUUUUUGUUUGUUUGUUUUUGUUUUCUGAGACACUGUCUCUCUCUAUGGCACUGGCUGUCCUGGAACUCUUGUCUGCUGACUAGGUGCACCACAAACUCACUGCCUCUGGGCUUAAAGGCCUGUGCCUCUCCCAGCUCUUUUCAUCUGUUUAAAACCUAGUUAUUGUGGUAUGUAUUUUGCACAUAAUGUUAAGAAGUGUUAACUGAUAUUUUUCUUUUUUUGCUUUAUUUCUUUGAGAAAGUGCUUCUUGUAACACUAUCAGAUCUCAGCCUUCCCAUAUAAUUGAGAAUGACCUUGAACUCAGGAUCCUGCUGUUGGAAGUGUUGGAUUACAUAUAAAUGCUAUGCUUAGCAGUGCAGGGUUUUCAGAGUCUAAUGUGUACAAGGGUAAGUUGCUAGUUCUCUUGUCCUCUGCUGCCGGUUAUUGUAAGACACACCCCACUCAAUAGGUGUUAAAAUGUAGCCUUAGAAUGGAUGAAGUAUGGGGAUUUUUGUCUGUUAGUAGAAUUGACACUUUUUCUAUCACGUCUAGACAUCACAAUUUUGUUUCUGUCUUUAUUUUCCAAUCACAGAAAGAAUAGCAUAUUUAAUUUAGGUCAUCUGUUCAUUAAAAGACAGAACUGAAUUGACACCUGGUAUCUUAGUAAGCCCAAAAUAUAAUUAUCCUUAUAGUGUCCUACUAUUACUGUAAGUAAGAGGUUAAUUUUGGAGAUUGGAGUAGAAUGAGUAUCUGUCUGUAUUGCACAGUGCCCUGGUUGGCUUGACGUAUGUGACUGUAGAAACUCUCCAGGCUGAAGACCCAUGACCUUCAGGUUGGUACUCUAGGAUAACACUAAAGCAGGGUUGAAAUGGCUGUUUAGUUCCACAUUGUUAGGGAGGAAGUAAGGCAAGAGUGACAACACAAUUUGAUUUAGAGUUCAUGUUCAAGGUAAAUAGAUUCACUAAGG